rnacentral:rRNA from 1 species
GGACUACACGGGUAUCUAAUCCUGUUUGCUCCCCACGCUUUCGCGUCUCAGCGUCAGUCACUGUCCAGAAGGCCGCCUUCGCCACCGGUGUUCCGCUUGAUAUCUACGAAUUUCACCUCUACACCAAGCAUUCCACCUUCCUCUCCAGGACUCUAGCUACGCAGUUUCGAGUGCACUUCCACGGUUGAGCCGUGGGAUUUCACGCCCGACUUACAUAGCCGCCUACACGCGCUUUACGCCCAGUAAUUCCGAACAACGUUUGCACCCUCUGUCUUACCGCGGCUGCUGGCAC